rnacentral:rRNA from 1 species
UUCGUGUGAACAGUGGUUGAUCACGAGUUAGUCGGUCCUAAGUUCAAGGCGAAAGCCGAAAAUUUUCAAGUAAAAAAUACAAAAUGACUAUAUAUAUAAUUAUUUAUUAUGAAACACUUGAAUAAUUUUGAACGAAAGGGAAUACGGUUCCAAUUCCGUAACCUGUUGAGUAUCCGUUUGUUAUUAAAUAUGGGCCUUUGUGCUCAUCCUGGCAACAGGAACGACCAUAAAGAAGCCGUCGAGAGAUAUCGGAAGAGUUUUCUUUUCUGUUUUAUAGCCGUACUACCAUGGAAGUCUUUCGCAGAGAGAUAUGGUAGAUGGGCUAGAAGAGCAUGACAUAUACUGUUGUGUCGAUAUUUUCUCCUCGGACCUUGAAAAUUUAUGGUGGGGAUACGCAAACUUCUCAACAGGCCGUACCAAUAUCCGCAGCUGGUCUCCAAGGUGAAGAGUCUCUAGUCGAUAGAAUA